UGAGAACAUCACCUGUGUUUUAAGAGAAAGCUGCAGGCAGUGAGACGAAACACGCUUGAAAAGUACAGAAGACUUUGGGAAAUCAUACAAUAUGAAG